UCUCUUUUGUUCCAAAUUCUCUCAAAAUUAAAUCUCAAUAUGCCUUCUUCAGCACCACGCACUACCCUCUUCAUCAGCGCCUUCAGCCGUUAUCGUCUGCUUCAAGUUGUGGCAUCUGAUGAUUGUGUGGGAGAGAUUCAAAUCUCAUAUUCUUUAUGCCCCUUCACAUAUUCCAGUGUGUCAACAGGAACACGGAGCAUAAGAGGGGGUUAGCGUCUUACUUUACCUUAUUCUUCACACGUUCUAGCGUACGCAGGUAUACAAGUUUUGUCGCCUUGAGUAGACAAACUGCUAGAGCAUUUGAAGAAUCAAGCUUCGGCAUUUGCAUAUAAAUAAAUAAAGAUGUGUGUGUGGGUGUGUGUGUGUAUUCAGCAGCUUCAUCCAUUGGGAGGUCGAAGAUGGUGACUUGUGUAUAUAUCUAUGGUUUGUUUCUCUGAUUCCUCUAGGUUUCUAUAUGUUGAUAUGUGGUUUGGUUCUCCACGCACACACAAACACACGUUUUGGUUUAAUUUGUUAUAGAAAAACCAAUAGUCUAUAUAAGGUGAUUGUUGCAGCAUGAUUAUGAUUAGCAAAUGGUACAAGUGAAUGAUUUAAUAAACUCAAUAAGAAUGACAUAUCAAGUUGACAUAUUAUUGGGUUUGGACACUUCACUUGAACUGUUUGCUAUUCAUGGAUCAUCUGCGGAUGGUGCUCUAUGUGUGUACCAAUCUCUGAACUACUCAUCAUCACAAGCCAUUCGCUUUUCAAGGAUAUUUUAAAGGUGCGAGUAAUAUUUAGU